rnacentral:rRNA from 1 species
GCAUAACGCGAAGAACCUUACCAGGGCUUGACAUCCCUCUGGCCCCUCUAGAGAUAGAGGUUCUCUUCGGAGCAGAGGUGACAGGUGGUGCAUGGUUGUCGUCAGCUCGUGUCGUGAGAUGUUGGGUUAAGUCCCGCAACGAGCGCAACCCUUGUCCUUAGUUGCCAGCAUUUAGUUGGGCACUCUAAGGAGACUGCCGUCGACAAGACGGAGGAAGGUGGGGAUGACGUCAAAUCAUCAUGCCCCUUAUGUCCUGGGCUACACACGUGCUACAAUGGAUGGUACAACGGGCUGCGAACUCGCGAGAGUAAGCCAAUCCCAAAAACCAUUCUCAGUUCGGAUUGUAGGCUGCAACUCGCCUACAUGAAGUCGGAAUCGCUAGUAAUCGCGGAUCAGCAUGCCGCGGUGAAUACGUUCCCGGGUCUUGUACACACCG